rnacentral:rRNA from 1 species
AUUGAACGCUGGCGGCAGGCUUAACACAUGCAAGUCGAGCGAGCGGCGGACGGGUGAGUAAUGUCUGGGAAACUGCCUGAUGGAGGGGGAUAACUACUGGAAACGGUAGCUAAUACCGCAUAACAUCAGAUGUGCCCAGGUGGGAUUAGCUAGUGGGUGGGGUAAUGGCUCACCUAGGCGACGAUCCCUAGCUGGUCUGAGAGGAUGACCAGCCACACUGGAACUGAGCCACGGUCCAGACUCCUACGGGAGGCAGCAGUGGGGAAUAUUGCGCAAUGGGCGCAAGCCUGAUGCAGCCAUGCCGCGGGAGUGAAGAAGGCCUUCGGGUUGUAAAGCACUUUCAGCGGGGAGGCGUUACUCACAGAGGAAGCACCGGCUAACUCCGUGCCAGCAGCCGCGGUAAUUC